CAUGCCGCGUGUGUGAAGAAGGCCUUUUGGUUGUAAAGCACUUUAAGCGAGGAGGAGGCUACCGAGAUUAAUACUCUUGGAUAGUGGACGUUACUCGCAGAAUAAGCACCGGCUAACUCUGUGCCAGCAGCCGCGGUAAUACAGAGGGUGCAAGCGUUAAUCGGAUUUACUGGGCGUAAAGCGCGCGUAGGUGGCCAAUUAAGUCAAAUGUGAAAUCCCCGAGCUUAACUUGGGAAUUGCAUUCGAUACUGGUUGGCUAGAGUAUGGGAGAGGAUGGUAGAAUUCCAGGUGUAGCGGUGAAAUGCGUAGAGAUCUGGAGGAAUACCGAUGGCGAAGGCAGCCAUCUGGCCUAAUACUGACACUGAGGUGCGAAAGCAUGGGGAGCAAACAGGAUUAGAUACCCUGGUAGUCCAUGCCGUAAACGAUGUCUACUAGCCGUUGGGGCCUUUGAGGCUUUAGUGGCGCAGCUAACGCGAUAAGUAGACCGCCUGGGGAGUACGGUCGCAAGACUAAAACUCAAAUGAAUUGACGGGGGCCCGCACAAGCGGUGGAGCAUGUGGUUUAAUUCGAUGCAACGCGAAGAACCUUACCUGGUCUUGACAUAGUAAGAACUUUCCAGAGAUGGAUUGGUGCCUUCGGGAACUUACAUACAGGUGCUGCAUGGCUGUCGUCAGCUCGUGUCGUGAGAUGUUGGGUUAAGUCCCGCAACGAGCGCAACCCUUUUCCUUAUUUGCCAGCGGGUUAAGCCGGGAACUUU
rnacentral:rRNA from 1 species